AUCCAGAAUCAAGUGUCCAGAUCUUGAAACAAGUUAAAAACUAAAAAUGUGUAGUACUUUGAAGCACACGAUACCACACGAAAAACAUACAGCCAAAUAAACCAAAACAGCGCGAGGCCUGAUAAAGGCAGAAAGUUAUCUCACCAACCGAACCGUAAUAAUGAUUGACAGUGAAAGAUAGACGAUAAGAAACGAAAAUAUAGCACAACGUGUCAGGCAGCCUCGAAAAUUUCAUUGGCAGAUCCACAUUUUUUACUGUCUUCGUCACAUCAAUUCCCAAACCCGAAGCCCUGGGCUCCAGUAGGGUAGAUAACAUCAGCGACGCCGAAGUGCCUCCCGAUCGUGCGUCGAUCAAAUGGGAUUGAUUGGGUCGCCGCCAAAUGUGUCGCGGAGCGAGGUUGGUCCAGCUGAUAAAUGAUUGCAGAAAGCAAUGCCAAUGCCGGUGACAACAUUGUGUGAAAUGUGUGGCCGAAUGCCAUCAUCGCGUUUUUUUUCUAUU